AAGUCGUAACAAGGUUUCCGUAGGUGAACCUGCGGAAGGAUCAUUAAAAAUAUAUAAAUUUUAUAAUUUUAUAAUUAUAAAAUUCAAUAUAAGAUCUUUUUAAAAAUAAAGUAAUUUAUUAUAAUUUAAUUAUUAUAAAUAAUUACUUGGUGAAAAUGAUUACUUUCACCUUAUAAAAAAUUAAAUAGUAUCAAAAUUAAAAAUUAAAUUUGUUAAAUUUUUUUAUAAUAUUAGUUUAUGAUUCUUUUUAUUUAAUAAAUAAAAAUAAAAAUAUAACUUUUAACAAUGGAUCUCUUGGCUCUUA
rnacentral:misc_RNA from 1 species